UUGACCUUCUGGGGUGUACCUCAUGAGUAGCUGCCAUUCAGGCUAUUUACUGCUUAUUUUUUUUUAACAGUCACUCCUUUGGCCAAUGGAAUCAAAGAAGUGAGAGCAUAAGCUGCAACUGUUCCCAAGGCAUGGAAGACGUGUCUCUCCUAUCUGAGAAUGAUUCUUCUGGCUCCUGCACUAAGUGCCAUCCCCUCCUGCAGUCUCAUGGCUCCCAGUCAUUCUGCUGCCUGAGGAACUAGCUGCCAGAUCAUCAGUUUGGGCUCAAGCCCCUCUCAUCACGUCCCUCCCUGAACCAG